ACGGAAGGCAGCAGUGGGGAAUAUUGGGCAAUGGGCGAAAGCCUGACCCAGCAACGCCGCGUGAAGGAAGAAGGUUUUCGGAUUGUAAACUUCUUUUAUCAGGGACGAAGAAAGUGACGGUACCUGAUGAAUAAGCCACGGCUAACUACGUGCCAGCAGCCGCGGUAAUACGUAGGUGGCAAGCGUUAUCCGGAUUUACUGGGUGUAAAGGGUGCGUAGGCGGGGAUGCAAGUCAGGUGUGAAAUCUAUGGGCUUAACCCAUAAACUGCAUUUGAAACUGUAUCUCUUGAGUGUCGGAGAGGUAGACGGAAUUCCUAGUGUAGCGGUGAAAUGCGUAGAUAUUAGGAGGAACACCAGUGGCGAAGGCGGUCUACUGGACGAUAACUGACGCUGAGGCGCGAAAGCGUGGGGAGCAAACAGGAUUAGAUACCCUGGUA
rnacentral:rRNA from 1 species